rnacentral:snRNA from 1 species
GUGCUUCCUUCGGCAUCGUAUACACUAAAAUUGGAACAAUACAGAGAAGAUGAAUAUGGCUCCUGCUCAAGGAU